rnacentral:rRNA from 1 species
AGCGAACGCUGGCGGCAGGCCUAACACAUGCAAGUCGAACGAACCUUUCGGGGUUAGUGGCGGACGGGUGAGUAACACGUGGGAACGUGCCUUUAGGUUCGGAAUAACUCAGGGAAACUUGUGCUAAUACCGAAUGUGCCCUUCGGGGGAAAGAUUUAUCGCCUUUAGAGCGGCCCGCGUCUGAUUAGCUAGUUGGUUGAGGUAAUGGCUCACCAAGGCGACGAUCAGUAGCUGGUCUGAGAGGAUGAUCAGCCACAUUGGGACUGAGACACGGCCCAAACUCCUACGGGAGGCAGCAGUGGAGAGUCUUGCGCAAUGAGCGAAAGCCUGACGCAGCCAUGCCGCGUGAAUGAUGAAUGUCUUAGGAUUGUAAAAUUCUUUCACCGGGGACGAUAAUGACGGUACCCGGAGAAGAAGCCCCGGCUAACUUCGUG